UACAGAGGUCCCGAGCGUUGUUCGGAUUCACUGGGCGUAAAGGGUGCGUAGGUGGCUUGGUAAGUUUGAUGUGAAAGCUCAGGGCUCAACCCUGAAAUGGCAUUGAAUACUACUGAGCUGGAGGUUUGGAGGGGGGACUGGAAUUUACGGUGUAGCAGUGAAAUGCGUAGAUAUCGUAAGGAAGACCAGUGGCGAAGGCGAAUCUCUGGACAGUUACUGACACUGAGGCACGAAGGCCAGGGGAGCAAACGGG
rnacentral:rRNA from 1 species